UACGUAGGGGCCUAGCGUUGUCCGGAAUUAUUGGGCGUAAAGAGCUCGUAGGCGGUUCGGCAAGUCGGAUGUGAAAUCUCCACGCUUAACGUGGAGGGGCCAUUCGAAACUGCUGUGACUCGAGUCCGGUAGGGGAGUGUGGAAUUCCUAGUGUAGCGGUGAAAUGCGCAGAUAUUAGGAGGAACACCGGUGGCGAAGGCGCCACUCUGGGCCGGAACUGACGCUGAGGAGCGAAAGCGUGGGGAGCGAACAGG
rnacentral:rRNA from 1 species